UAAGGAUGGCAAUGAUGUGGACCAGAGACCCCAGCCUAUCCAAGGUAGACCUUCUGCUGGUGGAAGUUCUCCCAGGUGAGGAGGAUUUGCUGAGAUUGAGGGGUAUUUCCUCCUGAAAUCAUCGGUGUCUGUUCAAAGGUUGGACUUCAUGAAGAUAAUCUUUUAGAAGAAAUGUAAUUUUUAAAAAGAGCUCAGUUUGGACUUCCCUG